rnacentral:sRNA from 1 species
ACCAGCCACCGCUUCUCCAGGUGGGUCCUUCCAGCCUGUUCGCAUCCUCGGUGUGGAAACCGUCAUCUUUUGUAACCAGCGAUUAGCAUCAUUAGGGCCUCCUUCCAAUCUUCUUUAUGUAUGGCGAUACGCAUGACAGGGUUUGGUACUAAUCCUGUACUACGAUGUGUGAAAACAAGUGAUCUUCAGCUUCUCCUCCAGAUCCUGACAAGAACAUCCGUGGAUCGAUCUGCUCGGCCAACAAGCAGCUUCUCCUCCCCUCCAUAGAAGCAUGUCUCUGGACUGAUCCUCCAUACAAGCACACCCCUAGAUUGAUCUGUCGGGCCAACAAAGAGGUUGUUCCGCUGCUUGCCGAUCUCAGUUGUUAAGUGCAGGCUAUUUCCCUCAUCCAGCAGUAGGCAUUCCAAUUUCUUCACUAUUCAAUUAUCAAUUUCCAACCAAUUUCAGUAUCCUAGAUCUGUCUGCUCCUUUUCCCCUUUACGUCAGUUUGAAUUAGCAUACUAUAAUCACUCCCUUCAAUAUCUUCACAGAUUAAUUAAUUGCUUUGAUUUUGCCAUGGGUUUAAUUGUUAUUGGAUUGUACUACUAUUGGGGGAAAUUUCUUUGAUGGUAAUACAUAACACUAGAAUCCUUUUUUAUUGCUAAUUAUACAAUUUCUAUAUUACGCUCCUUUGUUUUUCCCCUUUUUAAUUCAUUUUGUAAUCAUUCAGGUCACCUUUGCAUCUGUCAAACAACUUUAUAUUUUUAUGUUAGUUUUUGUAUUCGAUAAUGUAGCGCUGGAAACUCUUUUUAUCCGCAGCUCAUUUGUAAACAUGCAUGAUCUAUCUCGAUGACAUGAAAAUGACUGCAGAUUAUUCCCAAUUUAUCAAAUGGUUGGUGAUCCUUUAGUCAGCUGUGUGAUUCAGUGAAGUAAUGAUUGGGAUGAAUUUUUUUUUAUCAUAUGCAACACGGUGUUCUCAUAUAGAUGUUACUUUAUGAUCCUUCAGACUUUGCUAAUUCUUUAUAUAACGAUCAAUAAUGGAAAGUUACAGUUUUUUAGGUCACUGUCUCCUUUGAUUUUCAUUACCAAUAUUAUCUGACCUGGGUUCACAAUUUCAGUAAUAAUAGUAUGAUCUCAAAAUUCUUGAAUUAAUUACUGUUUAUUUACCUUAAGUUUAUAUAUAUUGAUUCAUCUAUUAUGUUUAUUGACCAAUAUUCCUGUUUGUUUUUUUAGAAAUGAUGGUGUUCUUGAGACUUCCAUCUGUGAUACACAUAUAUAAUAGGGAAGUAUCGAGUAUUUUCAACAUUGUUCUUCUUGCCCAAUAGAUUUGGAACCUAAACUUUGAUC